rnacentral:rRNA from 1 species
AUUGAACGCUGGCGGCAUGCCUUACACAUGCAAGUCGAACGGCAGCAUGAUCUAGCUUGCUAGAUUGAUGGCGAGUGGCGAACGGGUGAGUAAUACAUCGGAACGUGCCCUGUAGUGGGGGAUAACUAGUCGAAAGAUUAGCUAAUACCGCAUACGACCUGAGGGUGAAAGUGGGGGACCGCAAGGCCUCAUGCUAUAGGAGCGGCCGAUGUCUGAUUAGCUAGUUGGUGAGGUAAAGGCUCACCAAGGCGACGAUCAGUAGCUGGCCUGAGAGGACGAUCAGCCACACUGGGACUGAGACACGGCCCAGACUCCUACGGGAGGCAGCAGUGGGGAAUUUUGGACAAUGGGCGAAAGCCUGAUCCAGCAAUGCCGCGUGUGUGAAGAAGGCCUUCGGGUUGUAAAGCACUUUUGUCCGGAAAGAAAUGGCUCUGGUUAAUACCUGGGGUCGAUGACGGAACCGGAAGAAUAAGGACCGGCUAACUACGUG